UUCGGCAAUCCGACGAACCUACGCAAAGAUAUCGCCAAAAGAAGGUCGGCGACGCGCUAAUUACGGUAGAGACCGUUCUACUUCUAUUUGCACGGAGUCGCGAGAGAUAGUCGUCGACGCUUUCCGAGACGUGGAUUCUAGUUGAUUGACACCACUACAGGUUCCAGUGCGAGGUUUGAGGCCGAGGAUCGUGGCAAGAGCCCUGCAGCUUAGCUAGC